CAUCUUUUGUUGGCCAAAAAAAUUAAACAUUAAAAGUAAUAGAUCAAAAAGACUUUCCUUUUCUGAAGAUCUUUCCCUUUCCCUUUCCUUUGCUCAUGGUCGAGCUUUUCCUUGAAGUCACGCUUCCCUUUCCUUUUCCGAGCUAAAGAACUCACAAUUUCUCUUCUUUGAGCUGAAGAUCGAGCUGUAAAACUCACCGAGCUGACGAAGCUUUCUCUUCUUCGAGCUGAAGAUUUUGUCAAGGGAAAUGGAGGUGAACAAAUUUGAAGUGGAUGAUGAAGAGUUUUUGAACUAUUGUAAAAGUUUAAAUACAUUAUAUUUGAUUUUGUGAAAUAUGUUCAUUGGUGGAAUGUAUUGAACUAUUGUAAGAGUACUUUUUAAAUUAUUGUGUACACAUAUUGCUUUAUAAGUAUGUGUAUGUACACAACGCAUAUUAUGUUUUGAAGUUUAUGGAAAAUCUAUAAAUUUGUAAGAAUACUUAAUGCUUGAGAUUAUUUAUUGCAAAACAAUAUUGGUGUAUUUUAC